AGGAACCGUAACAGUUCAGGCAGGCACGUUUGACUACGGGAUCGAGGUAGACCUAAGAAAAAGCAGAGAAUAAGAACCCCCGUCUUGCUUCUGAAUGUUUCAGGACUCUGGCUUAGGUUAAGCCAAGGCUGCACAACCGGCAACUGGCCAAUUACUCAGCCCACCAGCCAGAUAUUGUCUCCUGUAACUGCUCGACAUCCCCUUUGUUCUUGACACCACAAGCUGGGAACAAGAACAGGAUGUUCAUCUUACCCCUGCUGUGCAACCAUAUAUUGUUGAUGGGAUACUUCAGCUCGGCAAGUCAGAGAACAUGUGCCAAUUUGGCUCAAGCUUCAUCAGGAAAAGGCAUAACCUCCCUAAAUGCUUGCCUGGAAGUGGUGAUGGGCUGGAUGAAGGAUAAAUUCAGACUGAUUCUAAAUAAGAUGGAGGUGCUUAUUGUGCAUGCAAGAGAAAAUUUUGAUCUGCCAGUCCUGGCUACAUUCCCCCAGAAGGAACAGAACACGCAGUGAAGGAGCUUCCGCCUGACACUGCUACAUAAACUGGCAGGUAUGCUGCUGCUGCUGCUGGGAUGGAAGCAUGGAGAGAGUGCCCUCACCACUGUCGCUUCGCCUGGCGGGACCAAUUCCAAAGAAGUCCCCGUUUCCUGGAGUGCGAGGAGGAGCGAGCCGAGGGGACCCCAUACUUCCCUCUUUCUGCCUGAGUGCCGGCGAGUGCCCCAAGUGGCACCCCUGCAUGGUGGUCCCUGAAGCUCGGCGCCCUGAAGCUCGGCGCCCUGAAGCUCGGCACACCCCUAAAGCUGGCCCUGC